GGACUGUAGUCUGCAACCCGACUACACGAAGCCGGAAUCGCUAGUAAUCGCGAAUCAGAAUGUCGCGGUGAAUACGUUCCCGGGUCUUGUACACACCGCCCGUCACACCAUGGGAGUCGGAAAUGCCCGAAGUCAGUGACCCAACCGCAAGGAGGGAGCUGCCGAAGGCAGGUCCGGUAACUGGGGUGAAGUCGUAACAAGGUACC
rnacentral:rRNA from 1 species